UAGAGUUUGGGGAGGGGGGGUCACGCAGUUUGGGGGAAGCACUACCAAUUGGGGGGGGGUCCAAAUUUUAUUGGGGGGGUCCAAUUUUUUUGGGGGGGUCCAAUUUUUUUUGGGGGGGGGUCUAACUUCUUUGGGGGGGGUCCAAUUUCUUUUUGGGGUUGUCCAAUUUCUUUGGGGGAGGUCCAAUUUUUUGGGGGAGAGGUAAGAUUCUUUUGGGGGGGUGUCCAAUUUUUUAUUGGGGGGGUCCAAUUUUUUUUUGGGGGGUGUCAAACUUCUUUGGGGGGGGUCCAAUUUCUUUUUGGGGUUGUCCAAUUUCUUUGGGGGGGUCCAAUUUUUUUGGGGGGGGUCCAAUUUUUUUGGGGGGGGGGGUCCAAUUUUUUGGGGGCGCGGCGAUUGGCGGAGGCGCCGCCCAAUGGGAGCGCGGGGCGGGCGCGGUUUGAGUGUGCGCGCCGCGAUGGCGGCGAGGCCCGGCGGCGACGGCGCUGGCGCUGCCCGCCCGGGACCAGGGGUGCGGCGGCGGCUGGCGUGGUACCAGAGGUACCAGAGGAGGCAGCUGGAGGAGCUGCAGAGGAAGAUAAGGGGCCUGGAGGAUGACAACCGGCAGCUCCGGGAGCAGCUGCAGCACAGCCGGGCCCGGGUGGAGGAGCUGGAGGGACAAGUGGGCUCUCUGCGCACGGAGCUGCAGCAGUCCCAGGAGGAGCGGUCCCGGUGGCAGCGGGAGGCGGAGGCGCAGGCGGCCGAGCGGCAGCGGCUGGCGGCUGAGCUCCAGGAGCGGCACCGGCAGCUGGAGGAGCUCCGGGAGGCGGCGCGGGACCGGGAGGAGCAGCUGGGGGCCGCCCAGGUGAAGAAGUGCAUCCUGGGCACGGCCCACGCCAACAAGAAGUAGCCCCGGGACCACCGGGACCCCCCCCGUUUUUCUGCCCCUCCCCCAGCACAGAGCCCGCCUGGGCCGGUGCUGAUUGGCCGCCGGUGUCACGUGACGCAGGGAGGAAAAAAAUGGCGGCGCCCUGCGUGGUUGCACAGUGCCCGUACGGCAACAUGGCGGCGCCCAGUGGUGCGGGAGCACUUCCUGUCCUGCGCGAUGCUCUGCCUGCGCUGGGGGGGGAUCGGUACCGGAGCAGUGCUGCUGCCGCGUGGCGACUGCGCAUGCUCCGCACUAUGGGGGGGGGGGGGGGGGGGGGGGGGCAAACAGGAAACAAGAUGGACGUCGGGAUCUGUGUCGGAACAGUUUCCCUUUUCCUGAGGGGAAUAAACGA
rnacentral:lncRNA from 1 species